UUCUUCUUCUCCUCCAACUCCAACGUCUGAAAGUAGAGACCAUAGACGGAGUCGCGGUUACGGAGAGAGGCAGAGAGCAAAGCUUCUUCUUCUCCAACGCCUGAGAAAACCCGUUGUCCUCGGCCGAGCCCACCGCCGUGCCAUCCUCUUCAUGCAGGAUUAUUGAUGGAGCAUCUGGUGGCAUACUUCUGCUUUGAUUUUGGCAUCAGAGAUUUCUUAUCAGUGUCUGCAAAGAACAUUAUGCAGAAUCCCACCAGACUUGUUACGGGCAUGGCUCAAGGCACUUCUAGUCUUUUAAGCAACAUAGUGUAUGCCAUCAGUGAUGCGGCUUCCCAAUUCAGUAAAGCUGCACGCAAGGUAUUUCUUGCUUUGCGGCAAUGAUAAUUCAAUUUACAUUUCAUGCUAUAGCAUCCAAUAAGAAUAUUGUGUUGCAUGUUGUCCAAAGAGAAACCUUCAGCGGAUGGAUAUGUUAACAAAAGCCAUAGCUUUCCUUCCAGGAACAGGACACUAAAUUUUUUCCAGCUCACCUUCCUACUUCUAACGAGCCCUGCUUGAUUACUUCUGCUCCCACUUGACUUGAUGGGUGCCAUUAACAUGAUUAGCAUCUACACUGAAAUUUACUUAUGCCGUUUAGUUGGAUUUUUCUUGUGGAAUUGAGAAACUUGUUAAUAGACUUGGGUGUUCUUGUCAUUGAGAAAUUUUGAGGUAUUUAGCUGAGGGUGGGGGUCUAUUUGCUAUGGUAUCUAAUGAGCAUAUUACUACAUUAUUCUAAAAUUUUUCCUUUUUAUUUAUUUGGGAAUUUUUCAUUUUUCUAAACAUUUGCAAGAUUCAGAAACUCCAUGUAAACAGCAAAUUUUAUAUUCAUCUGUGCUGUAACUUGUUAGAGGUAUUCUGCUAAAUUUAUGUACCAUAGUGAGGGAAAUAUGAUUGAGGAAGUUUUAAGCUUUUUCAAAGGACUCGAAAAGAGUUGAACUUUAGUGCUUGUUAGCAUAUGGGGGUUAUAACCUUUUCAGCUGAGUUAUAUACUUAUUCUAUUGAAUUUGGUUACAUAGUUUUUGUUUGACUAUUAUUUUAUAUAUAAGACACAGCAAAAUCAGCGUUUGAAAGUAUAUGUUUGUUUAUGCUAGUUUUUAUGAUUCUUUAAGCAGUAUCAAUUUUAAAGUGUAUUAAGCUAGGAUGCUAACUUCCAACACAAUUCCCUUAUCAUAAACUAGGUUAAAUACCAUAACAUUCAACACAAUAUACAUAAGAAAGUAUUAAUAACACAAAAUAAUUUGCACUUUGUCAGCAGGGGAAUUUAGAUCAUGAUCAUUAUUAAAGCUAUAUCACUGAAACAGUGCUUCACAAAUAACUGAGAAGUUUCUCAAUUCACAAAUCUACUUGAUAACUUGGGCUUUGAUGUUUAGAGUAGUAAACUUUACCUGAUUAUUUUGGGGUGCAACAUCAAUUUCUGUUAUCCAAACUGGUGAACAAGUGGCAACAAGUGUAUCAAUGGAAGCUUUCAUGUAUGGCAAAUUAGGAGGAAAAUUAGGAAAAUGUACUAAUUAGGAACUUGGGAAUUCGGUCUAUGACAUGUUCCAAUAACUCCUCCCCUAUUCUUUUUAUAUUAUGUCUGCUAAAGAAAGAACUUGGGAAUUUGGUCUAAGACACGUUAAUACCAGCAAUGAUUCUUUAAAGGGGCCAACUAUCAUGUCAAUUUCGCUUGAACGGUGCCCAAAACGUUGUUCUUCCCAUGGCGAAUGUAAAUUCUCUUUCGAUGCUAGCGGAUUGACAUCAUACAGGUUUAUUUAAGCCCUUCUCAAUCUGUUUUUUCUUUAAAUUGCUAAACUGAAACUAUAAAAUUCCUUGUAAUGACUGAGACAUUGUAUCUUAUGCAUUUGUUCUCCAACUUACUAAGUAAUUUACCAUUCUACUUGUUUAUUUUCUUGACUCAACUUCUGUUCUAGUGAUGGAAACCAUGGAGGCUUUGACUGUAGCAUUGAAAUUGUAACUCUUCAAGGACAUGUUCGACAAUCAAUUUUUUCCAUCGUAUCGAAUGCUGCAGCCAAACUUCCUGUCUAUUGGGCCCUUAGGAAGAAGGUCAACUCUUUUUUUCUCCUUCUAGUUUAGAUUAACACACAGCUCAUAAAUAAAAAAAUAUUAAAGAUUUGACGACUUUGUUUAGUUAGCAUUGCUAAAAGACAUCAUCAAAUCUUUUUGUUCAGUUACAUGUUGAGGACAAAGCACUCCUUUUAUUUGUGUUAACACGGUGAUUUUCUUUUAAUUUAAGGAUGAUUUAAAUAAGCAACAAAACAAUUUAUUCAUUAUAUAGACUUCUGUGUGUUACGAAAUCAAUAACUUGUUUAUGCAAGCAUUAACAAAAUGGGUUUUAUUCACCUCCAGUAGAAUUUCAAGUGGACUAUAUCAUGCAUUUGAUGUUGGCACCUGGUGUGCAUUAAACUAUAAUGUCCUACAGGUUAGCACUAAUGGAUUUGAACUAAUCCUUGAUGGACUAACUUUCACUUUACUCAUGUCAGUUCAUGGACUCUGGCUCUCCUUCAUGGCUGUGAUUAGCACUUAGUCAAGUUUAGUGGAUUGAAUAGCAUUAAAUAUUUUGUAUUAUUAGUGGAUUUUAAUUUAAAUUAAUAUAAGUUUAAGUUUAGUUAUUUAUUUUGAC